UACGGAGGGGGGCGAGCGUUUAUUCGGAAUUAUUGGGCGUAAAGGGCGCGUAGGCGGCCCGGUAAGUCAAAGGUGAAAUCCCCUCGGCUCAACUGAGGAACUGCCUUGAAACUGUCGGGCUUGAGGCCGGGAGGGGGUAGCGGAAUUCCCAGUGUAGCGGUGAAAUGCGUAGAUAUUGGGGAGGAACACCAGUGGCGAAGGCGGCUACCUGGACCGGUUCUGACGCUGAUGCGCGAAAGCGUGGGGAGCAAACAGG
rnacentral:rRNA from 1 species